GUACAAAAGAAAAGUGUGUAUGGGCGAUCAAGAAGGCCCAUGGUCUAGGACAGUGACAUCCAUUACACUUUGGAUGGGUGUUGUUCUAAGGUCUGUUCAAUGGCAGAGCCUAUGUCAUAAUUUGUGGUAGAGGGGGUCUAUGUUCGCGCAGCCUCUAC